UCGAUGUAAUAAAAGGAAAAUGAAAUACACAGAACGAUACAGAGAGGAUUAACAUGGAUAUUCUGCACAAAGAUGACACGUAUAAAUCGAGAAAUACAGACCCUUUUU